ACAAUAGCUGAGGUCAUGCAUGAAGCUUGAUUUCUCAUGUCGUGUAAUCUUACAAAAGUACUAUACAAAACAAAACAAUGUGGCAGUUGUUACUAUUAGAUAAUUAUGAGACUUUGGACCUUUUUGCCAAAAGUCAUAAUUAAAACACACCACUUCUUAGUAGGCAGUGUUAGUUGGGUAUUUUUCUCUAAUGUCUGCUUGUUCUCCCUGGAAGGUCAUUCUUUUAAAUAGUGCAUUGAUAAUUUCAUUCACUGUAGAACAUGUAUGAUGAAUUUAGGUCAUAUUAAUUUUAAGAGAAGCACCCUCUCAGGAGCUAAUGGAUGGGGCUAUAGUGGACUACAAAAUACAGUCAAGUGCCUUGCACAUAAAAUUAAACAGGGUUUCUUUUGUGAGGUGCUCACACUUUGAGUUGAUGUUUGUUAUUGUUUGGGUUUCACAGGAGCCCUGUGUUUCAACAUUUCUUUAACUACUCAUAGGGCAGAAGAGCUCUGUGUGCUCAUAACCCAACCUGCAUUAUCUUGAUUCAUAGCAAAUUACCAUUAAGAUUAAAAUGCAACUGAUUUCCUCUCUGGCUCACUCCUUACAAUGAUGCUGGAAGUUCACCUAAACAAAGGAUUUGCAAAUGUUAAAGCUGGAAAGAACUUUAAAUUCUCUUUCUCCAGCUCAGAUUCUUCAUUUACCUGAUGAGAAAACGGAGUCCUAGAGAAAGGAGAGGGCUUACGACCCAGCAUGUCACUUAAUCUACCCUUCCUACCCCUAGUUGCAAAGGGAAGAGAGAAAUUCCUUUCCCACCUACUUCUCAGAAUCGCUGUAAGGAUAAAAUUAGAUAAAGUACGCAACAUUUUUGAGAAUAGCAAAGUAAGAGUAAAAUAAAAAUAGUAAGAGUGAUGAUUGUAAAGAUAUCAUUUAUUGAAUAUUUGGUAUGAACUGGGCACUGUAUUACAUAUAUGAUCUCACAAAUCAUCAUAACCCUACCAUAGACAUGUAUUUAUUAUCCCCAAUUAAAAAUGAAGGAACUGGGGAGUGCCCAUGGUGGCUCAGCAGUAAUGAACCCAAGUAAUAUCCAUGAGGAUGCAGGUUCAAUCCCUGGCCCCGCUCUGUGGGUUGAGGAUCCCAUGUUGCCACGAGCGGUAGUGUAGAUGGCAAACAGCUUGGCUCAGAUACCAUGUUGCUAUGUGGCUGUGGCGUAGACUGGCAGCUGCAUCUCCCAUUUAAUGUCUAGCCUGGGAACUUCCAUAUGCCCUGGAUGUGGCCCGAAAAAAAAAGCUACCUAGUAGCAGAACUAAGAGUGAACCUUAGGGAAUCCAACAUUAAACAAAAGCUCUUUGGCUUUACUUACAGCCCAAGGAUUCACACUGGAAUCCAUACUGGACCAUAAUUGUCUUAUUCUCAGGGUUUUCCCAUUGUUAUAAAUUAGUUUCAUAAAGUUCUUUUGGAAGCAGAGAAAAUGGAAACUGCCUAUCCCUUUCUAGGCUUAAUUUGAUGUAUUAUUUACCUUGAACACUGGAGUUUUCAUUAAGAAUGAAAAAUAGACAAGUUUCUGACAUUGCUAUAGAUGUUUUCAGACCAGUGCUAUGGUUUUCUAUUUGCUGUAUAUUUUGCCAAUUGAGCCUCUAAGUGUCCAGUGCUAUCACUCUAAAUAAACCUCUCCUCAUUCUGUUCUGCUUCCUUGCUGCAAGAAGCAUGAAGCUGUAAACUGCCUAUCAGGAAUUUAGAGAAGAACCCAAUGAUCAUGGCAAUGGAAUCUGUAUGUGUGCUGGCUGCGCCUGUGCCAGAUGAUGUUAAAAGGCUGCCACCUUCUGUUUAGCCCAAGUGUUGCUGAGGCAACUUUCCCACAGCUUCCCUAAGAGUCCUCUAAGCUGAUUUACACUGAUUCCGAAUUGCACUUCUGCAAUAUAUAACAUGACAAGUUAAACGCAAAGCCUGCCAAAAAAUCUUGAUAGGCUCAGCUUUCGUGCUACGGCACUUGAAAAGACCAUUACGACUGCCAUCCCCCUAAAGUGUGCUCAAUAUUUUUUGACAGUGAAUUAUCUAAGCAGCAGUUUAUCUCAGCAUUCAUGGAAUGGGGGUGGGGGUUUUGCCCUUUAAAGAUUCAAAAGAGGAAGAUAAAGGGGGUGGGGUAGGGAUAUUUUCCAUUGUUCAAGUGGUAAUGGAUUACUCCAAGGGUUUCCAGAUGUUGCAAGGGCUCUAGUUUUAUACUCAGGUGCGUUUUCUGCUGAGACUUACAAGAAAUGAAACACAUUAUGGGCAGGAUCCUAGACUGUAAGCAAAGGAAUAACACCAGCAUCUGAAUUUUUCUCUGAGAGGUUAUAUGAAAGAGAUACCUUGUGCCUGACCCCAGUAAGCUGAGCCUCCAGCAGCUGGCUUAUCAAGGACAAUCACCUCUUGCUUUAUCAGCACUAAGCUAUUGUUUUCUUCAGGACACGAACCCUACAGCAAUCACUGACACCAUAUAGUGUGUUCCAUCUGGAGCUCUGCCAGCCUGAAAUCCCGCCCCUAACUUCUCCCCACAAAGUGAGGGUGGGGCUCCAUUUUAUUUCAGUAACACAGCCCAGCAAAAUUAGCUUUGCCCAGGGUCACUUUAAUAACUAGCACAUGAGCACCUCCAUCCAUGUGUAUACGCUUAGGUCUGGGUGAGUUGGGUCUCUUUACAUGGUUAAAAUACUAGGGAUUGUUUACAAAAGCUGGAAAAGUCAGGGAUGGAAAAUAGUUCUAGAGGCCAGAACUAUCCAGUUAAGUGCUUACUGACCAGAUUUUUAUUGACUAAGAAACAUAUGCCUAAUAAAUCUAUGACUACACUCACAUCUUCUCAGUCUAAAAUUAUCUAUGUAUUUAUGCAUCUUUCUAGUUUUAUGUCUCUUGCUACAGGACAUAAAAGAAACAAACAGAUAAUUAUAUUUCUUCCUGAAACCUUAUAGAAAAAAAAAAUUGCUCACUCUCCCAAUUUCCUUCUAAUACAGAUAUUUUUAAUGUCAUUAUUUCUUUUAUCUCACUUAUGCAUCAUUUUUCUAGAAAUGCUUCUCUGUAUAUUAGGAGUCUUACAUAUGCUAGAUAUUUAACAUUAGUAGGAGACAAUCUCACUGAUCUUGGAUUUUGCAGAUUCCCAAACUAAUAACUUAAUUGCAAAUAUUUUCCAAUAUAAAUGCAGUAAAACAAGAUUUUCAUAGGGGGAGGGGAGAUCCUAUGUUCAAAAACAAUGAAGCUAAGUGCAAGGAUGCUUUGUAAUCCUAUAGUCGACAUUCAUACAGAGACUAAUCUCCCUACAGCCUUGAUUGAAACCAUGUCAGCAGAAUCCCUGCUAGAGGGACUUGGAUGGUAGAGUCCUUGUACUUUUCAAGAGUUAAUGCCCAGGGGUCAGGCACUUCUUCUGGGCCACAACUUAGGAAAUCUCAGGUGGACCUAAGGCCACAACAAUUCAGGAGAAUACUAUUUUCCCACCUUCUUUUUUAAAUCCAUGACUCUUAUACCUUUUAGUAAAAUAUUUGCAUCUUCAGUUUCUUCAGGUUGAGCAAAUACAAGCACUAUUUCCUGGUGCUCUGAUUUUAUUCAAAGACUUUAACAGUAAUCUGUCUUCUCUUGAUAAUACAGCUUUGAUCAUUCCCACUCAAUUUUACUGACUAG
rnacentral:lncRNA from 1 species